rnacentral:rRNA from 1 species
UACGGAGGGUGCAAGCGUUGUCCGGAAUCACUGGGCGUAAAGGGCGCGUAGGCGGCCUGGUAAGUAGGGGGUGAAAUCCUGCGGCUUAACCGCAGGGCUGCCUUCUAAACUGUCAGGCUUGAGCACGGUAGAGGCAGAUGGAAUUCCCGGUGUAGCGGUGGAAUGCGUAGAGAUCGGGAAGAACAUCAGUGGCGAAGGCGGUCUGCUGGGCAGUUUCUGACACUGAUGCGCGACAGCGUGGGGAGCAAACAGG